UACGUAGGGUGCAAGCGUUGUCCGGAAUUAUUGGGCGUAAAGAGCUCGUAGGCGGUCUGUCGCGUCGGCUGUGAAAACCCGAGGCUCAACCUCGGGCCUGCAGUCGAUACGGGCAAACUAGAGUACUGCAGGGGAGACUGGAAUUCCUGGUGUAGCGGUGAAAUGCGCAGAUAUCAGGAGGAACACCGAUGGCGAAGGCAGAUCUCUGGGCCGUAACUGACGCUGAGGAGCGAAAGCAUGGGGAGCGAACAGG
rnacentral:rRNA from 1 species